rnacentral:lncRNA from 1 species
GGCGUCUGGGCAGCCUACGCUUUCCGACUAUGGAAAUGAUAUUAGACAAAAAGCAACUUCAAGUGAUUUUCUUAUUUGAGUUCAAAAUGGGUCAUAACGCAGCAGAGAUAACUUGAAACAUGAAAAGCGCAUUUGGCCCAGGAACUACUAACGAACAUACAGGGCAGCUGUGAUUCAAGAAGUUUUGCAAAGGAGACUAGAGCCUUGAAUAUGAGGAACACAGUGGCCAGCCAUUGGAAGUUGACAACAACUAAUUGAGAGCAAUUGUCGAAGCUGAUCCUCUUACAGCUACACAGGAAGUUGCCUAAGAACUCAACGUCGACCAAUCUAUGGUCGUUUGGCAUUUGAAGCAAAUUGGAAAGGUGAGAAAGCUCAAUAAGUGGGUGCCUCAUGAGCUGAGCAAAAAUUUUUUAAAUCGUCAUUUUGAAGUGUCAUCAUCCGUGCAACAACAACAAACCAUUUCUCAAUCAGAUUGUGACGUGCAACGACAAGUGGAUUUUAUAUGACAACCAGUGAUAACCAGUUCAGUGGUUGGACUGAGAAGCUGCAAAGCACUUCCCAAAGCCAAACUUGCACCAAAGAAAGGUCAUGGUCACUGUUUGGUGCUCUGCUGCCAUUCUGAUGCACUACAACUUUCUGAAUCCCAGUGAAACCAUUACAUCAGAGAAGUAUGCUCAGCAAAUUGAUGAGGUGCACCGAAAACUGAAACACCUGCUGCUGGCAUAGAUCCACAGAAAGGGUCCAAUUCUUUUAUUUUAUUUUAUUUUAUUUUUUUCCGAGACAUAGUCUCACUGUCACCCAGGCUGGAGUGCAGUGGUUCAAUUUCGGCUCACUGCAACCUCUGCCUCCCAGGUUCGAACAAUUCUACCUCGCCCUCCCGAGUACCUCAAAUUGCAGGCACCUGCCACCAUGCCUGACUAAUUUUUGUAUUUUUAGUAGAAGCAGGGUUUCACCAUGUUGGCCAGGCUAGUCUCGAACUCCUGACCUCAAGUGAUCCACCCGCCUCAGCCUCCCAAAGUGCUGGGAUUACAGGCGUGAGUCACUGCGCCUAGCAGGUCCCAAUUCUUCUCCAUGAUAAUGCCCAACUGCAUGUUGCACAACCAGUGCUUCAGAAGUUGAAGGAAUUGGUCUAUGAAAUUUUGCCUCAUCUGCCAGAUUGACCUGACUUCUUGCCAACCAACUACCACUUCUUGAAGCAUCUUGACAGCUUUUUGCAGGUGAAAUGCUUCCACACCAGC